rnacentral:rRNA from 1 species
GGGGAAUUUUCCGCAAUGGGCGAAAGCCUGACGGAGCAAUACCGCGUGAGGGAAGAAGGCUCUUGGGUUGUAAACCUCUUUUCUGAGGGAAGAAAAAAAUGACGGUACCUCAGGAAUCAGCAUCGGCUAACUCCGUGCCAGCAGCCGCGGUAAUACGGAGGAUGCAAGCGUUAUCCGGAAUGAUUGGGCGUAAAGCGUCCGCAGGUGGCAUAUCAAGUUUGCGGUUAAAGGUUCUGGCUCAACCAGGAACAGGCCGUGAAAACUGAUAAGCUAGAGUAUGGUAGGGGCAGAGGGAAUUCCCAGUGUAGCGGUGAAAUGCGUAGAGAUUGGGAAGAACACCGGUGGCGAAAGCGCUCUGCUAGGCCAAAACUGACACUGAGGGACGAAAGCUAGGGGAGCGAAUGGGAUUAGAUACCCCAG